ensembl:misc_RNA Y_RNA Y RNA
GGCUGGUCCGAUGGCAGUGGGUUAUCAGAACUUAUUAACAUUAGUGUCACUAAAGUUGGUAUACCACCCUCCCCCCCCACUGCUAAAUUUGACUGGCUUUAA